GUUACUGUGAAGUCAUUAGAGUGUGCAAAGCAGGCAGAUCCGAUUUUGUGCCACCGGAUACAGAAGCAUGGGAUGAUGGCAUAGGAUGCUGUUGUCCUAUAUUCAGCGUCUUUUGGCAGCGCGUCGACUUCGGUAAUGAUUAAUACUGAUGGCGGUAUCCAAUCGUAUUCGAUUGUCAGACGUGCGAUUCUUGGAUUUAUGAAAGAUCAUCUUCUGCGGAUGCAUCUGCAGAGGAUGAUCUUUCAUUAAUCCAAGAACGUCACAUCUAACGGAUCGAAGACGAUCAGAUACCGUCGUAGCUCUUAAUCAUAAACGAUGUCGACGAGCGAUUAGGAGGACGCUGAAUACAAAACACCACAAUCGUUGCAGUCGUCCAUGGCGUCCU
rnacentral:rRNA from 1 species